UACGUAGGGGGCAAGCGUUGUCCGGAUUUACUGGGCGUAAAGCGCGCGUAGGCGGAACGUUAAGUCCGGUCUGAAAGCCCCCGGCUCAACCGGGGAGGGUGGCUGGAAACUGGCGUUCUUGAGGGCGAGAGAGGAGGGUGGAAUUCCUGGUGUAGCGGUGAAAUGCGUAGAUAUCAGGAGGAACACCUGCGGUGUAGACAGCUUUCUGGACCACUUCUGACGCUGAGACACGAAAGCGUGGGUAGCAAACAGG
rnacentral:rRNA from 1 species